UACGGGGGGAGCAAGCGUUGUUCGGAUUUACUGGGCGUAAAGGGCGCGUAGGCGGCGCAACAAGUCACUUGUGAAAUCUCCGGGCUUAACCCGGAGCGGUCAAGUGAUACUGUCGUGCUAGAGUGCGGAAGGGGCUACUGGAAUUCCUGGUGUAGCGGUGAAAUGCGCAGAUAUCAGGGAGGGAACACCGGUGGCGGAAGGCGGGUCUCUGGGCCGAUACUGACGCUGGAGGAGCGAAAGCG
rnacentral:rRNA from 1 species